rnacentral:rRNA from 1 species
AACGAACGCUGGCGGCGUGCUUAACACAUGCAAGUCGAACGUGAAAGUCCUUCGGGAUGAGUAAAGUGGCGCACGGGUGAGUAAUGAAUAGGAACGUGUCUUUGGGUGGGGAAUAACCACGGGAAACUGUGGCUAAUACCGCGUAAUAUCGAGAGAUCAAAGGGGGCCUCUACUUGUAAGCUCUCGCCCGAAGAGUGGCCUAUUUCCCAUUAGCUAGUUGGCAGGGUAAAAGCCUACCAAGGCAACGAUGGGUAGCUGGUCUGAGAGGAUGAUCAGCCACACUGGAACUGAGACACGGUCCAGACUCCUACGGGAGGCAGCAGUGGGGAAUCUUGCACAAUGGGCGAAAGCCUGAUGCAGCAACGCCGCGUGAGUGAAGAAGGUCUUUGGAUUGUAAAGCUCUUUCGAUUGGGAAGAAGGGUGCGUGGGUUAAUACCCCAUGUAUUUGACGGUACCAAUAUAAGAAGCACUGGCUAAUUCCGUGCCAGCCGCCGCCGUAACAC